rnacentral:tRNA from 1 species
GCUAAUUUGACAGAAAAAUUGUGUCAAAUUUAGAAUUUGAUUAUGGAGGCUUCCAAUUAGUA